UGUGCCGCGGGAGCGCGAAAGGUGGAGAUGAGGGGGACGACCCACCCGAGGCCAUUCUUGGGAUCAUGAAGGCCGCGAGUUAAUUAUUUACUCAUAAUAAAUAAGUUAUAAAUAUAUUGAGACAGUCUGAAGGACGAUUCCCAAAACUGAGCUAAAUUUGAUGGAGGGAGCCAGCCACCUGUGGAGUGGAACCCAAAUCAAGUUGUUCCUUAGGCUCUGACUCUACCCUUAGGUGACCCAUUCCGUGUGGUCUUGCAGUGACAAACUUGGAGCAGAGUGACAGAGCCAGCUGCCUUUGUUAAAGCAUUGUGCUUCAGUUGUCCCUUCUUGUAAAAUGGUGAUAAUGUUGCUUGCUCUAGUUAUCUUUAUAGGGUAAAGAUAAAAUUAAAUCCUGUAUUAUUCUCUACUUAAAGAAGCGCUUUUAGGAAGUUCCCCUGUGGCUCAGCGGGUUAAGGAUCCCAAGCAGGCUGCAACUGCCGGUCAGGUUCGACCCCUGGCCCAGGAACUUCUACAUGCUGCGAUUGUGGCCAAGCGCUUUUAAAAGGUAAAAAAUGCCACGCGAAUGCAAAAUAGAGGUUUGAUUAUUGUUAGACUCCAAAUCAAGCCUGAAAUGACUUUAGCAUUUGUCUCUGGCUCCCACAGGGCUGUCACUCUGGGCAGUUCUAGCUUCUUCCUUCUCCCAAUCUCCUUCUCCCCGAAGCAUCCACCAGAGGACGCAGCUUCCCCCAAACUUUCCACUCUGCUUGGCUAGAGAGACUCAGUCCACGUUUUCCUGCUACUCCGGGCCCGCAGUUAAAUCACUGCAGCCCCAGACUAAGCUGUCCGUUACCAUGGGAACGGAAAGCCAUGACGUCACCAUUGUCUGGGAAAGUGGACGGCUGCCCCCCGCGCGUGUCCGAACUACCACGCCGGCGACCACGCGUGAGCACGCAGAAGGCCCAAACCUCCCACCAUACCCCUCAGAACUUUCCCCGAACUCCUCCUUGCCUCUAUCCCCAAGGAAGUCAAGUCAGUCAAAUAACGAGGCUCAGCCUGUCCCAAACCCGCCGGGGCCCCUCAGAUCACACCCGCACGCUAGAAUCCUGCUCCUGGGCCGCGGUUUCCCUCGGACCCCGCCCCGCUCCUCGGGCCCCGCCCCCCGGCAGCGCGGGCGGGAGGCGGGGCCGGGGGCGCGGCCGCCGG
rnacentral:lncRNA from 1 species